CCUACGGGUGGCAGCAGUAGGGAAUAUUGCUCAAUGGGGAAAACCCUGAAGCAGCAACGCCGCGUGGAGGAUGAAGGUUUUCGGAUUGUAACUUCUUUUUGUUGGAGAAGAUAAUGACGGUAUCUAACGAAUAAGCACCGGCUAACUCCGUGCCAGCAGCCGCGGUAAUACGGAGGGUGCAAGCGUUACUCGGAAUCACUGGGCGGAAAGAGCGCGUAGGCGGGAUAGCAAGUCAGAUGUGAAAUCCUAUGGCUUAACCAUAGAACUGCAUUUGAAACUGUUAUUCUAGAGUAUGGGAGAGGUAGGUGGAAUUCUUGGUGUAGGGGUAAAAUCCGUAGAGAUCAAGAGGAAUACUCAUUGCGAAGGCGACCUGCUAGAACAUAACUGACGCUGAUGCGCGAAAGCGUGGGGAGCAAACAGGAUUAGAUACCCCAGUAGUC
rnacentral:rRNA from 1 species